GUAGGUGGCAAGCGUUGUCCGGAAUUAUUGGGCGUAAGGCGCGCGCAGGUGGUUCUUUAAGUCUGAUGUGAAAGCCCCCGGCUCAACCGGGGAGGGUCAUUGGAAACUGGGGAACUUGAGUGCAGGAGAGGAAAGUGGAAUUCCACGUGUAGCGGUGAAAUGCGUAGAUAUGUGGAGGAACACCAGUGGCGAAGGCGACUUUCUGGCCUGUAACUGACACUGAGGCGCGAAAGCGUGGGGAGCAAACAGGGAUUAGAUACCCUGGUAGUCCACGCCGUAAACGAUGAGUGCUAAGUGUUGGGGGGGUUUCCCGCCCCUCAGUGCUGCAGCUAACGCAUUAAGCACUCCGCCUGGGGAUACGGUCGCAAGACUG
rnacentral:rRNA from 1 species